UGGGGAGUAGCCAAGUGGUACGGCAGGGGCCUUUGAAGCCUCCAUGCGAUGGUUCGAUCCCAUCCUCCCCAGCCA
rnacentral:tRNA from 1 species